GUUAACUCCAAAGCAAGCAAAGGCAUGGAUGAUAGUUUCAGCAGAUGAAUUCGGGAAAGAGAGGAGACAAGUGAGAAAUCGCAUGCUGUGGCGCACAAAAACAUGGCUUUUCAUAAUAUAAUUCCAAGGCAGGAAUACUUUGUAAGAAAUAACACUUUAAAGAGGUGCCAAGAGAAUUCUUCAGUGUGAUCAGUGACAGUGCAAUGGCAGACCCCAGCUGGAUAGCAGACACUGUUGGAAAAGGAAAAAAUCCAGACCACAGUGGUUCCUUUCCCUUCGCACAUCCAUGUCAACUCGUCCAGUCCUGUUUCCAUCACGCCUCUCAACAACAACCUCGCACUCAAUGUCAGCAAGAUCAAGGAAUUGAUUGUGGACUUCAGGAAGGGGAAGUCGGGAGAACACACACCGGUCUUCAUUGAGGGGUCAGCGGUGGAAAGGAUGAGCAGCUUCAAGUUCCUGGGUGUCAACAUCUUGGAGGAUCUAUCCUGAGCCCAACACAUUGAUGAAAUCACGAAGAAAGCAUGUCAGUGGCUCUACUUCAUUAGGAGUUUGAGGAGAUUUGGUAUGCUACCAAAGACCCUUGCAAAUUUCUAUAAAUGUACUGCGAAGAGCAUUCUGGCAGGUUGCAUCACAGUCUGGUAUGGAGGCUCCAAUGUACAAAAUCACAAGAGGCUGCAGAGGGUUGUAGACUCAGUCAGCUCCAUCACACGCACAACUCUCCACACCAUUGAGGAUAUCUUCAAGAGGCGGUGCCUCAAGAAGGUGGCAUCCAUCACUAAGGACCCUCGCCAUUCAGGACAUGCCCUCUUCUCAUUAUUACCAUCAGGGAGGAGGUACAGGAGCCUGAAGACCCACACUCAGUGAUUCAGAAACAGCCAUCAGAUUUCUCCACCAUCAGAUUUCUGAAUGGUCCAUGAACACUACCUCGUUAUUCCUUUCCUUGCACUAUUUUUUUAUUUAGUAAUUUAUAGUAAUUUUAUGUCUUUGCACUGUACUGUUGUCGCAAAACGAGUAAUUUCACGUCAUAUAAGACAGUGAUAAUAAACCUGAUUCUGAUCUCCUGUUGUUUUGCUAUUGACAGCAAAAUGCAGGAUCUUCAAAAAAAUAGCACAAUCAGUAGGAGUAUUUUAUGCAGAAUGGUAUUUAAAUAUGCUCAUUUUAUACAGUCAUAAGCUUACACUCUGCAGUGAAAAAAU